rnacentral:rRNA from 1 species
AUUAUGGCUCAGGAUGAACGCUGGCGGCGUGCCUAAUACAUGCAAGUCGAGCGAGAAUCAGUGAAGCAGAGAUUCGUCAAAGCGGAACUGAGGAAAGCGGCGGACGGGUGAGUAACGCGUAGGCAACCUGCCCUUAGCAGAGGGAUAGCCAUUGGAAACGAUGAUUAAAACCUCAUAAUGCUGCAGAAACACAUGUUUUUACAGCCAAAGAUUUAUCGGCUAAGGAUGGGCCUGCGUCUGAUUAACUAGUUGGUGAGGUAACGGCUCACCAAGGUGACGAUCAGUAGCCGACCUGAGAGGGUGAUCGGCCACAUUGGAACUGAGACACGGUCCAAACCUCUACGGAAGGCAGCAGUAAGGAAUCUUGCACAAUGGGGGAAACCCUGAUGCAAGCAACGCCGCGUGAACGAUGAAGGCCUUAGGGUUGUAAAGUUCUGAUCUGUGGGAAGAAGAAGUGACGGUACCACAGGAGAAAGCCCCGGCUAAAUACGUGCCAGCAGCAGC